rnacentral:tRNA from 1 species
GGUAAAGAGGGAUAUGAGGGCAACGGCCUUUCACGCCGUCGACAGGGGUUCAAAUCCCCUUGGGGACGCCA